rnacentral:misc_RNA from 1 species
GGAUCAUACUGCACUAUCCAGUCCUACAAGAAAGAAGUGGAGAAAAAAGAGGUUCAACAUUAACUGACUGAUAAAGAUAACUUUCAUGGUACGCUUCCAGCUGAGAUUAAUAAGACUAUUUUUCUUGGUAAGGUCCUAUGCUAGUUAAACUCAAAUCUAUCUUACCCUCAAUCCAUCUUUGUAAAGACAAUUCAUAACAAAAUGCUAGACUAAUCUACUGUUUUGAAUCUUUUUUAAGUAGUGCGGCUAACAAUAGAUUAGAUGUUUGCCCUUUAAUACAAGCAGGAAUGCAUAGACUGUGACAAAACUCCAUGUUCAAAAUUUAAGGCAAAUAAUUUUUCAAACUUUUCCAAGAACAUCUGUAGAUUUGUAACUAACUGCCAACAACUUUGGUUGCUUACUAUCAUUUGUUCUCGAUGUCCCAAUAUAUGUCCAUUACAGGAAAGAAAAUAACAUGUGCACAUUUCCAUACAGUAAUGCAAUUAUUGCAUAACAGUGUUAUGCUUCAUUCAUUACAAACAUGCGCUAAUUUCAUUAAUUUCAAAAACCCUAUCCCUAGCCUUCUGCACUGAAUUCCUACUGUAACAAAUUUCUCCACCAUUUAAGAAAAACAUGUUGCAACUACACUUCCAAAUUCCUACAUUAAUGUUAUUCCUUUAAGACUAAACUUCUUUGGAGAGUGUCAAAGAGGCAGAUGACAGUUUGGCUUCUGCAAUGAGCAACAAAAAUUGCACAUAUGCAAAUAUAUAAAAUACAAUAUUGAAAAAUACAGACUAAAAUGAUUCAAUAAGAAAUGCCAAUAAAAAAACACCAAAUUUACCAAAUGCAGUAUAUUGAGGUUAUCAUUAUAACAGUUACAAGAGAGAACACUAAAAGCAUAAAAAUCAUAGCCAGAAUAGCAAGUCAUGAAUCACUUGAACUCUUGAAGAAAGAUACAUACCACAUCAGGAAUAUCA